UCCAGACUCCUACGGGAGGCAGCAGUGAGGAAUAUUGGUCAAUGGGCGAGAGCCUGAACCAGCCAAGUCGCGUGAGGGAGUACUGCCCUAUGGGUUGUAAACCUCUUUAGGCGGGGAGCAAUGCCGGGCACGCGUGCCCGGAGGGAGAGUACCCGCAGAAUAAGCAUCGGCUAACUCCGUGCCAGCAGCCGCGGUAAUACGGAGGAUGCGAGCGUUAUCCGGAUUUAUUGGGUUUAAAGGGUGCGUAGGCGGAUUUUUAAGUCAGCGGUAAAAUGUCCGGGCUCAACCCGGGCCGGCCGUUGAAACUGGGGAUCUUGAGUGGGCGAGAAGUAUGCGGAAUGCGUGGUGUAGCGGUGAAAUGCAUAGAUAUCACGCAGAACUCCGAUUGCGAAGGCAGCAUACCGGCGCCCGACUGACGCUGAGGCACGAAAGCGUGGGGAUCGAACAGGAUUAGAUACCCUAGUACU
rnacentral:rRNA from 1 species